rnacentral:lncRNA from 1 species
UUUUCAGGGUUAAGAUUGCUGUUAUUCUGUCCUUGUUUUGGCACAAAAAGCACACUGAGGAUUGUCUUUUUUUUCUGUUGUUUUUUUUUUUUUUUUUCCUUGCGGGUUUGCCUACAGGUAGAUUAGAUUAAUUAUUACUAUGUAAUGCAAGUACAGUUGGGGAAAGCUUUGCUAGAUAUUUUUUUUAAGGUGCUGCCUUUUAAAUUUAUUAGAAAAUGCCUGUCAGUCAUGAUAGAACCGUUUUCCUCGUAUGAACAAGAGGAAGGAACUUUCACUUUCAGUGGAAUGGCCAUCACUAUCAAGAUCAGAUCGUGGAAGGAGUAAAGAAAAUAUCUCAAAAUGAGACAAGUUUUUCUGUUUUGUUUUGUUUUUUUAAUAACUAAGUUUUUUGUGCUCUUGCAAAACUAUUCAGAACUGUUUUAAGAACACAGUGAUGUCACUUUAAGCUCAGUGUCCUUACUGUAGAAUUAAAAGCCUUACUGUCGAUUGCCCACAGUGGGCUCUGUGGAGAAAUUAAAUAUCUUACAUUAUGCUUUACAAAAUAUUGUAUAUGUUUCAGCAACUUUGUAGAUUGGGAACUGGGAGAAGAGGAAAGAAUUACAUUUAAUCUAUGCAUUUUUGCCAAGCCAUAUUGAGUUAUUUUACUACUAGAGACAUAACUAACUGUACAAGAGAACCAAGUUUAAAAGCAUUUUGUGGGAUACAUCAUUUCUGUAAUUAUAUAAUGUAUUUCUUUGUGGUUUUAAGUGAAAAGACAUUAAGUUAACAAACAUAUAAAAAUGUAUGCACUGUUUGAAAUGUAAAUUAUUCUUAGAAUAUUUUCAGUGGAAGUUGCAUUACCCUAUUAGUGCCUUAAUUUGAGAGAAUUUUUUUACUGCCAUAAAUACAGACUUUUCAGAAAACAGAUUUUACAAAAAAUUAUGUGUUUUUUUCAUUGGUAAUUGGUUUAAUUUAAAAUAUAGAGGUUUGUCAGAUUUUUAUAAAUUGAGUACAACCUUUGUACCAAACUACCUGCUACAAUAAUGAAACUAUCUGCAAAAACAUAUACAGUUACACCAGUAGUAAAGAAUUAUGAAAUAUAUCCAUGAUGUUUUCCAGUUAACAUAGGAAUUACCAUAUAAAUACUGUUCAACUCUCCUCUGGUAACAAGAGUUGAUGUGUAUGGGCAGUGUGAUUUAUUGUUUAUUUUUUUAACCAAAUACCUCCUCAGUAAUUUAUAAUGGCUUUGCAGUAAUGUGUAUCAAAUAAGCACUGGAAAACCGAUCUUCUCUAGGGUGAUAUGCAUGUUUCAAGUGGUAUUGAAAGCCGCACUGAUGGAUAUGUAGUAAUAAACAUAUCUGUUAUUAAUAUGCUAAUGACUCUGUGCUCAUUUAAUGAGAAAUAAAAUAAUUUAUGGAUAGAUACUUUUAAUAUUGACUACUAUAGUAUUUUCUCAUGGCUGGAAUGAAUAGAUGGCAUACUAAAAAUUAUUCAGUGAUUGUAUACAAAUGUUUGCUAAAUUUUGUGAAUAGAUUAAAAUUAUUUUUUAAAGAU